rfam:Candidatus Shapirobacteria bacterium CG2_30_35_20 cg2_3.0_scaffold_8888_c, whole genome shotgun sequence.
GCCCCUUUAGCUCAACGGUAGAGCUAUGGUAUCGUAAACCACAGAUGUCAGUUCAAUUCUGGCAAGGGGCU